GCCCGCUUGGUGAAAUUGGUAGACACGACAGACUUAAAAUCUGUUCUUUUCAUAAAAGAGGGUGACGGUUCAAGUCCGUCAGCGGGCA
rnacentral:tRNA from 1 species